rnacentral:rRNA from 1 species
UACGUAGGGCGCAAGCGUUGUCCGGAAUCACUGGGCGUAAAGGGCGCGUAGGCGGCCUGAUAAGUAGGGGGUGAAAUCCUGCGGCUUAACCGCAGGGCUGCCUUCUAAACUGUCAGGCUAGAGCACGGUAGAGGCAGAUGGAAUUCCCGGUGUAGCGGUGGAAUGCGUAGAGAUCGGGAGGAACACCCGUGGCGAAGGCGGCCAACUGGGCCGGACCUGACGCUGGAGGCACGAAAGCGUGGGGAGCAAACAGG